UUGGUAAUUAGUUUUCUCGCGACAGGAAGCACUGAAAGGAGUUCUUCUUCUCCGGGUGAACAUGCAAGGGAAAACUGGUGAUAUGUCGAUAACUCUACCUUUUAUAGGAAAAUUAAGCAUUAGAUUCCACGGAUUUUGAAGCAAUACAUACUUAGAUGAAGCUGAGUUCACCAACGAUAAGAACAAAAGCCUCAUUGUUGAAAUGUCCAAACGAUCGUUUUGGGCAUUACGGAAAGCUGUCGAAACCAAAUGGCUAACGAUAUCAGUAACAAUACUCAUAACGACUCUAGCCAACAAGAUUUGAUUCCAAUACCCCCAUCAGAGUGUAUUCCAUGGUUUGUUGUCCAUAUUGCUGAAUGUUUGGCAAUAGUCAUCCUAAACAUCAUCACUAUUGUUGCAUUUGUGAAGCAGCGCGAGUUACAGCGCCAGAGUAAAUACUUAAUCAACCAUCUGGCGAUUGUUGAUCUCCUCGCCGGUGCAGUCUCUGGACCUCUUUUUAUAGAG